GCUAAGCCAACAGCUAAACUGAGCUGGACUGUCCUUUGGCUUCUGAACUGGGGAGAAGCUUUGGCUUGUGGUUGAUGGUGUAGAAGAACCUAUUUGUAUCUCUGAGAUUUAUCUGGCUAGUUGGUAGAAGAAGAAAGAAGACAGACAAUUGUCCUCCUAUCUCUUAGACUGUCCCUGAUAGUGACUGAUUGCCAUUUCCCCAAUAUCUUCCUAAACAAGACUCCUUGUAGAGAAUAGGGAAACCUAUCCUGCUUACCUUAUCCUCUACUCUUGUCCUACCUUCCCCAAAUAAACCCUUACUUGAGAAAAGAAGAAAGAAAGAGUAUUUCCUCUGAAAUCUCAUUGUUUACCCUGAGUGACUUGAAGGGAGGGGGAAGCUGAAGACUUUUGAAGAGAGAGGAAAACUGGGAGGAGGGUAGGCAAACUUGAUCCAUUAGUUAUCCAGAAUCAAUCAAUAUACACCCUCAGGAAUUACUAUCUAUUACAGAUUGGCACCCCAGAUGAGACAAUAAAUAACAGUCCCUAAUGAAAACAAAGGAAUGAACAGUGAUUCGAUGGCAAUGAACACCUUAGCUACACACUGGCCAGAACCAUAUGUAUGGAGUAAGGUGGGAAAGAAAAACUACAAGGCUCUCUUAGAUACUGAUGCUUCAAAAUCUGUCCUAAAGACAUGUCCAGGGGAUACCAACACAGGGGCUAUGGUUUCUGUAGCUGGAGCAAUGGGACAAAUACAACAGGUCCCUGAACUUAAAAGCCCUAUGGCCAAAGUGGGUCCUCUCUCCAUAGAUCAUAUCUUCUUGUUGAUUCCCUUAUGUCCAGAUAACAUUUUAGGAUGAGAUUUUUUGUGUAAGAUUCAAGUGCCUUUAUAAUGUGAGAAAUCUAGGAAAUUUUAUUUUCAUUUACCCAAGAAUUCACUGAAACAAUACCCAUUCUUAUACGUAGAACAACUAGAAGAAGAAGAACCUGAAAAAAAUUCAAGUUGUUACAUCUAUGUAUGACAUAUCAAAAGAUAUACCACAAGGGGUAUUUGCAAAACAUCAAAAUGAUGUGGGUAGGAUCAAGUUGAUUACUCCAGUCAGGAUUGAAGUCAGGGAAGGAAUACCACCUAAGAUACAGCAAUACAAAAUGAGUAGAGAAGCAAAAGAACAGAUAACGCCUAUCAUAAACAGUUUGCUUGAGCAAGGCAUAUUCAGACCUACGGUAGCUGAAUACAAUAGCCCAAUUCUAGCUAUUAAAAAGAACAAGCUAAAUGAAGAUGGCACUCCCGCCUAGAGAUUUGUCAAGGAUCUGAGGGCUGUGAAUAAUUUUAUAAGGAAAAGGAAAAAUUAUAUAAGGAAAAGAUUCCCUGUCACACCUUCACCAAAUGAUAUCAUAACCCAAAUACCUGCAGAAGCUGUUGGACUUGAGCAACAUUUACUUUACCAUACUGUUGCACCCUGAUUCUCAAAAUAUUUUUGCUUUCCAAUGGGGACAAACUCAGCUGUGCUAUACUAGAUUAGUGCAAGGAUGUUGUGAGUCUGCUUUAAUAUUUUGUCAACUUUUGCAAAGAGAUCUAGUCACCAUAACUUUCAAACAUAGCAGAUUAAUACACUAUGUGGAUGAUUUGCUGCUAGCAUCUCCUGACCCAAAAACAUGUUUGGAGGAUUCAAAGAAAUUACUGAUAGAACUUUAUAAGAGAGGACAUAAAGUUUCAAAAAAGAAGAUUCAGUGGAUCCUUCCAACAGUGGAAUAUUUAGGAUUUGUCCUGGAGGGGGGCACCAGGAAUAUCUCUAAGAAAAGAAUAGCAGACAUACUGAAGCUAGGCAUCCCUAAAACUAAGAAAGAACUUAGAGCUUUUCUAGGGGUUGCUGGUUUCUUGAGACAAUACAUAGUGGGAUAUUCUCAUAUUUCCAAAUGUUUAACUGAUUUGACAAAGAAAGACAUUAAAGAACCAUUACAAUGGAAUAAAGAACAUUUACAUGCUUUGUCACAGUUGAAAGGAGCUAUUUUAUCAUCUCCAGCUUUGGAAAUAUCUGAUUAUAAGAAAGAAUUCCACUUGUAUGUCCAUGAAGCAAAAGGCAUCCCUUCUGGAAUGCUAGCACAGUAUUUUGAGUUAAAUCUAAGGGCUAUUGCAUUUUACAGUUCUGUCUUCGACUCGGUUGCACAAGGAAUGGUGCAUUGCCUCAGGAGCAUAGUAGCUACAGUUCUGAUGGUCAAGAAGUCAUAUGAUAUAGUACUGGGAUGUAAAUUGCACGUGUAUACUGUACAACAAAUUGAAAAACUGUUACAGUUGCAGAAUAUUUAUUCAUUCACCAAUUCAAGAAUAUCCCAGUAUGAAGUCACUUUGUUAGGCAAUGAUAACAUCACAAUUCAUAGAUGUGCAACAUUGAACCCAGCGACUCUGAUUCCUGAUUUGCCAAUGGGUGGAGAAGUAUUACAUGAUUGUGGCCAAAUAGUAGAACUCACACACAAACCAAAUGAACACCUUAAAGACACACCUCUUAUUGAUCCAGAAAUAGAGUUAUACACAGAUGGGUCAUCCUAUGUUCGCGAUGGGAGAAAAUUCACAGGGGCAUCUGUAGUUGACAACGACAGAACACUUUGGCAAGCAUCACUGCCAAGUCAUGUCAGUGCCUAAGGAGCUGAGCUCAAGAUUCUACUCAUGGCCUUAGAAUUAGCUAGAGGGAAAAGAGCUAAUAUUUUUCUGCAUUCACACUAUGCUUUCUCCACUGUACAUUGGUCAUCAUACUUACAGAAAAACAGAGGGUAUAAAACUUCAGCUAGGAAACCAAUUGCAUAUGGCAACCUAAGAGAUCAUAUUAUAAGUGCUGUAGACUUUCCUAAAGAGGUGACCAUAAUCUAUUGUAAAGCGCAUACUCAUGGAAAGGACAGAAUAUCCCUAGGGAAUGACAGAGCAGACAUAACAUCAAAAUAUGCUGCAAGGUCCAGGCCCCACCGUGUGCUGAAUUUCUCUCUGACUGAAAGGUAGAAUCUCAUUGAAGCCUAUGAUGGAGAAGAUGGAGAAGAAAUACAGUCAUGGAAAGAGCAGCUAGGUGCUAAACUAAUCAAAGGCAUCUGGAUUGCUCAAGAGGGUAAACCUAUUCUCCCUAAAAAGUUGUAUCAACAUCUAUGCACCAUAAUUCAAGCAAAGGGACAUUACGGAGUGCAAGGGAUUCUGGAUACCAUACAGAGGUAUUGGACAGCACCAGGAAUAACAACAAAUGCUAUUAGAACUUGUCAGGCAUGUGAAACAUGCAGAAGAUAUAAUCAAGGACAUUUUAAGAGCAUAGCAUUGGGAGGCAGACCACUCAGAUAUAUACCUUUCCAGUGUAUUCAAAUUGAUUAUAUCAACAUGCUUAAAGACAAGGGAUACAAAUAUACAUUGGUGAUUGUGGAUAGACUGACUAGAUGGAUUGAAGCAUGUCCAUCCAAGAAAAAUGACACUGCAACGGUAGUGAGAUUUCUAUUAAAGGAGAUUAUAGCUAGACAUGGCAUUCCUGAUACCAUAGAUUUGGACAAGGGAUCCCACUUCACUUCCCAGGUUCUUCAAGAAAUCUAUAAGAACUUGGGGAUUAAGUGCAACUACCAUUCAGUUUAUCAGCCCCAAAGUUCCGGUCAAUUUGAGAGCAUAAACAAAGAGUUGAAGACACAAAUAGGUAAACUCUGUUCAGAAACACACUUAAAAUGAACAGAUGUUUUGCCUCUUGCUUUGUUCAACAUAAGAACCAGGCCUAGGACUGACUUGCUUAUAUCACCAUUUGAAAUGCUAUAUGUUCAGCCACUUUGGCAUGGUAGGACAGUAAAGCCAACUUACUUGUCCAUGUUAAAAGGGGAAUGUGUUCUUCAUGAAUAUUUAAAACAGAUACAACAUAGAAUUGAAGAACUAAGGAAAGUGGGUUUGCUCAUGCAAAGAAUACCACUAGAUUUUUCAUUGCAUAAGAUAAAAUCAGGUGACAAGGUAUAUGUCAAGAAUUUUAAUAGAGAAUCUCCUACAGAACCUAGAUGGAUCAGACCAACAAUGGUCAUAAUGACAACCCCAACAUCUAUAAAGGUUGAUCAAAGAGAUCCAUGGUUCCAUGCUUCACAUGUAAAAUUGUAUCACACCCAUAAUGUUGAGUAACCCUAGGAAAAUAACCAACAAUAACAGUCCUUGUGAAUGAAAGCCUAUGGAAAACAAAGGAAAGCACUGCAAAAGCCAACAAAACAAAGAAACAGAAAGAAAUAUUCAUUUAAAAGAGUAACAGCCACAGAAAGAUCUCUACAUUAUAUACAAAGUCUCUGCCAGCCAUAGUAACAGAACAGAAAGAAACAAGGUUAUCACAAAUGCAAACGUAACUCCAUUAUCAAAAUGAAAAUACAUUAAAUCCAAAUUCUAUUUCUAAGACAUAAGAAAACAUUCAAUUAAUUUCUUUGUGAGAAAAGUCAAACAUCAAAAGAUUAGAAAACUUCAAAUCAAUAUUCUUAACAAAAUUCUAAGAACUUAUGCACAAAGCUAUUAUGCUUACACCCACCCAUGAAGAUAUACAUAUGUAAUGCUUACUUCCACACAUGAAGAAUAACUGAUGUAUCCUGACAAGCAUUCAUGAAGAAUUCAGCUUACUUCCAUGAACAUAAGAAUUUCAAUCUUACAUACAUGCAUUUGUAAAUACCUUACACACAUGCAUGUUCAUGAUUGUUCCAGUUGUUCCUGAAUUGAAGAACACAGGUCUUCAAUCAAGAGUGAAAGAAAAUAGGAGAGUGCUAUGCUGACCAGAAGAUGAAGACAGAAUUUAUAUAAUCAACAUAAAAGGACAUGGAAGGACUGUGAAUUUGGGGGACUUGUGAUCAUGAGGAUAUGUAAGAAUACAUCAUACAUGUUAAAAUCACAUAUAUGCAUAUAUAUCCUACAUAGAAAAGGAAGAUAUCUCAUGGAAUGGGUGGAUGGCCUCACUAUGUAGAAACAGCUGAGUAAAUAAUGACUCCCAUGUGAAAAGUCAGUCAUUUCCUUUCUUUAAAAAUAUAGUCAAUUUGUUUUUCUGAGUGUAUGACAUCAUUUAAUGUUUCCUAUGUUCUAUACUUUCCAAUACACCCAUUGAAGAAAAUACUCAUCUUGUAUAGAUGUUGACUUCUGUUGAUGUUUGGAAUUUCUUUCUAUUCUUGAGCCACAGCCAUAUUUUCUAAAUAGUUUUUUCUAGCCUUUCCUGUGUCUAUAUUUCUGUUGAAGAUAUUGAGUAAUAAAUUAUAUGUUGAUUUUA